ACCAAGCAAUAGGCAACCUUGCUGCAUGUCGAUGCAUGAGGCGAAAUCCCCUUCGGUCGAGGCACACAAUCUUGGAUCUGCCUCGCAUGGGCACGCAAGAUUGUAUCUUGCCGACGAUGCAAAUCUUGCACGAACGUAUGCUUAUGUUAAGGUUGGAAAUGACAUGCAAAUCGUUUGUCUAACUUGGGUAUGGGGGUGAAAGACUAAUCGAACCGUCUAGUAGCCGGUUCCCUCUAAAGUUUCCCUCAAGAUAGCUGGAGCUUGGGACGAGUUUUAUCAGGUAAAGCCAAUGAUUAGAGGCAUCGGGGGUGCAAUGCCCUCGACCUAUUCUCAAACUUUAAAUAGGUAGGACGACAUGGCUGCGUCAUUGAGUUGGGCCACGGAAUCGAGAGCUUCAAGUGGGCCAUUUUUGGUAAGCAGAACUAGCGAUGUGGGAUGAACUAGAAGCCGGGUUAUGAUGCCUAACUGGGCGCUAACUUAGAACCCAUAAAGGGUGUUGGUCGAUUAAGACAGCAAGAAAGUGGUCAUAGAAGUCGAAAUCCGUUGAGUGUGUAAUAACUCACCUACCGAAUCAACUAGCACCAAAAAUGGAUGGCGCUUAAGCGAGCGACCUAUACCCAAUCGUCGAGGCAAGAGCUAGACCCCAAUGAGUAGGAGGGCCCGGCGGUCGCUGCAAAACCCAGGGUGCGAGCCUAGGCGGAGCGGCCAUCGGUGCAGACCUUAGUGAUAGUAGCAAAUAUUCAAAUGAGAACUUUGAAGGAUGAAAAGGGGAAUAUUUAUUGUGAGUAUAAUUGAACAAUCCGAUAAAAAGGGGUAUAUUUAUCAACAUAAUAGAAAACCCCCUAUUAGAGCGAUAUAUUU
rnacentral:ncRNA from 1 species